AUAGGGAGGAGGAGCCUGUGAUGAUUAAGGUCAGUUGGACUGCAACUGUUAUUGGUUGGAAGAUGUGCUUGAUGGUAGAGGAGAGAAGAAUCUAUCUCUCUAUAUAAAAGGACAGUGGGCAGCAGUCUGUGAAGAGAGGGGUCAUGAAGGAGGAAAGAGCCUCUUCAGGAGAAGGAGGCUGCCACUGAGCCCAGAGCGGUGACCAGGAGGAGUGAUGUAGGAGUGACCAGGAGGAGUGAGUGGGUUGGAAGCAAUGCAGUGGAGGAAGAGGAGCAAGAGCAUGGCACAGUUUGUGGUUAUAUCUGAACAAGCAAACCAUGAAUUGCACUUGCCUUCAAAAUCAGAAAAAUGGGUUGAUUACCUGAAACCAAUGAUCUGGUAGUGAUCCACUGAAGUCAUAAAAAUGGGUUCUGUGAGUGCUGGACCAUUCAGGCAGAAUUGACUAGCUCCUUGAAGCGCUUAGCCCCAGCCCCUGCACAUGGUGCGUCUCUUCAGUUUGGGCAGGCUGUUUUCACCGCAGUUCCUAGAGGACUGACAUUGAAAUCCCAACAUCGUAUUGCAAUAGAGUAAAACUUCACAAGGAAAGAUCAUUCUGAGGAGCUGUGUAUCCAAGGUACCAGCACAAUGGCAGUCCGAAAGGAACUAAGGUUAAAACGCUACCCCACCCAAACUGAAGAGAAGCACCAUGUGC